AUACGGAGGAUCCGAGCGUUAUCCGGAUUUAUUGGGUUUAAAGGGUGCGCAGGCGGCCAUUUAAGUCAGCGGUUAAAUCGUGGGGCUCAACCCCAUUCUGCCGUUGAUACUGGGUGGCUUGAUUGCGGUCGAGGUUGGCGGAAUUCGUUGUGUAGCGGUGAAAUGCAUAGAUAUGACGAAGAACACCGAUUGCGUAGGCAGCUGACCAGACCGCAAAUGACGCUCAUGCACGAAAGUGCGGGGAUCGAACAGGAUUAGAUACCCUGGUAGUCCGCACAGUAAACGAUGAAUACUUGUUUUCGGCGAUAUAAUGUCGGAGGCAAAGCGAAAGCGAUAAGUAUUCCACCUGGGGAGUACGCCGGCAACGGUGAAACUUAAAGGAAUUGACGGG
rnacentral:rRNA from 1 species